ACGCGUGGAACCUUACCAGGUCUUGACAUCCCAUUGACCGCUAUGGAGACAUAGCUUUCCCUUCGGGGACAGUGGUGACAGGUGGUGCAUGGUUGUCGUCAGCUCGUGUCGUGAGAUGUUGGGUUAAGUCCCGCAACGAGCGCAACCCUUGUUCUUAGUUGCCAUCAUUUAGUUGGGCACUCUAAGGAGACUGCCGGUGACAAACCGGAGGAAGGUGGGGAUGACGUCAAAUCAUCAUGCCCCUUAUGACCUGGGCUACACACGUGCUACAAUGGAUGGUACAAAGGGCAGCAAAACCGCGAGGUCGAGCAAAUCCCAUAAAACCAUUCUCAGUUCGGAUUGUAGGCUGCAACUCGCCUACAUGAAGCUGGAAUCGCUAGUAAUCGCGGAUCAGCAUGCCGCGGUGAAUACGUUCCCGGGCCUUGCACUCACCGCCCGU
rnacentral:rRNA from 1 species